UACGUAGGGACCGAGCGUUGUCCGGAUUCAUUGGGCGUAAAGAGCUACGUAGGCGGCUGUUCAAGUCGAACGUGAAACUCGGAGCUCAACUCCGAGCCUGCGUUCGAUACUGGACGGCUAGAGUCUGGUAGGGGGAUCUGGAAUUCCUGGUGUAGCGGUGGAAUGCGCAGAGUAUACAGGAGGAACACCGGUGGCGAAGGCGGGAUCCUGGGCCAGUACUGACGCUGAGGAGCGAAAGCGUGGGGAGCAAACAGG
rnacentral:rRNA from 1 species